AUAGAUACCCCGGUAGUCCAUGCCGUAAACGUUGGGCACUAGGUGUGGGGGACAUUCCACGUUUUCCGCGCCGUAGCUAACGCAUUAAGAGCCCCGCCUGGGGAGUACGGCCGCAAGGCUAAAACUCAAAGGAAUUGACGGGGGCCCGCACAAGCGGCGGAGCAUGCGGAUUAAUUCGAUGCAACGCGAAGAACCUUACCAAGGCUUGACAUGUGCCAGACCGCCUCAGAGAUGGGGUUUCCCUUCGGGGCUGGUUCACAGGUGGUGCAUGGUUGUCGUCAGCUCGUGUCGUGAGAUGUUGGGUUAAGUCCCGCAACGAGCGCAACCCUCGUUCCAUGUUGCCAGCACGUAGUGGUGGGGACUCAUGGGAGACUGCCGGGGUCAACUCGGGGGAAGUGGGGAUGACGUCAAAUCAUCAUGCCCCUUAUGUCUUGGGCUUCACGCAUGCUACAAUGGCCGGUACAAUGGGUUGCGAUACUGUGAGGUGGAGCUAAUCCCUAAAAGCCGGUCUCAGUUCGGAUUGGGGUCUGCAACUCGACCCC
rnacentral:rRNA from 1 species